AUCUACAACCAUACCACCCUGAGCACGCCCAAUCUUGUCUGCUCUUGGAAGUUUAGCUGGGUUGGGCCGUUUAGUUCUUGGAUGGGAGACUGCCUGUUAAUACUGGCUGCUGAAGGCU
rnacentral:rRNA from 1 species